UCAAUCCUGGUCGCUCGUUCACCUAGCCACAGUAAAUUCUCAUCCCACAUUUCACUCCAGCCGUUAGAUCCAGUCGUUCUUUUUCCACUUGUUCAGCUUCCAAGAGAGUCCAUGACAUGUAGGGCCAAAUACGUGCGGGGUCCAGCGGUCGGAGGCAGGCACAGGCGCCGGUCUGCGUCACCUUCCUUCUUCGCGCGUGGUGAAAACCUAGACACCAAUCCGUCGCCUCGCUCUCCUCCUUCCCAAUCCCCACCUCCUCUCCUCCCCCGAAUCAGCCGCCUCCUCUCCUCCCCCAAUCAGCCGCCUCCUCUCUUCAUCCCAAUCGACGACCUCCGUCGGAAUGGAACGGAGCGGCAGCAAGCUGGGCAGGCGGCGGCGACCAGAUGCGCCGAGCGAGGCCGGAGACGGGCGGCGCGGCCGGAGACGCGGUGGCGACGGCCGGAGGCGACCGGCACGGCCGCAGACGGGCCGGAGCGGGGCGGAUCCGCGGCGGCGACGACCGGAGGCGACGGGGGCGGCCGGAGACGGGCCGGCGCGGGGCGGAUCUGUGGCAGCGACGACCGGAGGCGAGACCAUCUCUCCCUGCUCUCGUCAUCUUCAGUGGAUGAACAAUGGGCAGGCGGCAAGGGAUGGUCUUGGCAAAGCCUGAUUCAACUCCAGGUUAGACUCGCUGGAGUUUCUUUCCUCAGUUCUUACUGUGAUUUAAUUUCUGUUUUCUGCUAAUAUUUGGAGGAGGAGAGGAGGAGCGGGUGUCCGGGGCGGAGCAGGUGCGGCCGGCCCGCAGGAGGGAGGCGUAGUGAUGGAGGGCGACCGGCGGCGUGCUCGUGUUUCAUCUGCUCUGCAAUCUGUGUAGAUCAACCUUCAAGCGACGUUUCUUUCUCGAUCUUGUCGAUCUGCGCGUUCUGGUCGGUUGGCUUGGUUCUUUGGUCCAGCCGCUGACUGCUUCUGAAGAUUAUUGGGGGCUGCCUCUUCUGCGCUGAGAGAAAAAAAAGGUCCUGGUUUCUGAGGAUUUCACAAGAAUCAGGUGUGACUGUGCUGUGCUGUCUACUCCUGUCAAGGAUGUGCACCCUUGUGUCCGUUGUUAUUCCGAUUUUAGAGACCCUUCAGAACGAUGUGCUCUGCCGGCCUUGUUUUACCUGUGUGAGGUGACUGCAUGUUAGCGUAUAGAAGUUCAGCGUGUGCAGCUCAUAGAAUGAGUACCCUGGAGAGAGAUACUAUGCGUCUUACUUCUGUGUUACAUGGUUAAGUGGUAGCUCUGCCUGUCGCUGGUACAUUGACAAGGAUAUACCUGAUGUCAAUUCCUUCCGUGCAAGCCUUGGAGGCCAGUUUACUCCUCUGACUGCCUAUAUCCCCACGGGGCCGGAUGCCCUUCCAACCCAUGUCUAUGCGGAUCCUAUUGAGAUGACCAUGAAAGAGCUCAACGGGGUUGAUCGCUUUGUUGAUAUGGACAAAAGGUUUAUCUUCUUCUGGCUUGUGACAAGCUUUGUUGGUUUCUGUUGAUUGCAAUUGUCUGGUGCUUCGCAACUCCUAGGUAGUCUACUCUCGAGUCAUGGUUGCAGCGCCCAGUUCGACGAGGUGCAGUGCCCCAAGCGCCCAGGAUGGCCCCUCAACCUGCUCGUGAGGUGGGUGGGAGAUGGAGGUGCCGCUAACUUCCUCAUCCACAACAUCAGGCUUUCUGAGGCGGCCCUCCACUCUCGCUCAAGCCACUGCAGCCUCGAGGAUCAAAUCUUCCUAGGGGAAAUGUCCACAAGCAGAGAAGGGAUGGCACGACCUGUGCGGAGGCAGUCGUCGUCAUCCUUGGCAUCCAGCUGAGCGCCUCGCCAGAGAGGUGUACCUCUCCCUUCCAGCCAUCCUCUUACAAUGAUUUUAUCUAAUUCAUGGGAAUUCUCAGACGACGAGGAUAAAAAGUUUCCUUUUGCUGAAUUGAAGCAUAAAAUCUGUAUGCUAGAUUUAAAGUAAAUCCUAUAUUAGAUGCUUAUUGAUAUUUGCAUCCCUCUUUUUCCUAAUAUUCUGUGAUGCAUUUCUUGUUGAUUCCAUUUAAGUGGUACUUCUUUACAACUCUAUCUAUAAAUCCUAGAAGCUGAGUUGAUUCUAGGCGGGUGUUUCUGCAGACAUCUUGUUUAUUUUCUUGGUAUGUUGUAUUCUUGUUGGCUGCGGGCUCUAUAAAUGCCAUUCAUGAUCCAUUUAACUUUACCUGUUAAUAACUUUGAUUUGAAAUGACGAGGCAACCUCGGGUGGGAGAAGGAACAACAUCACGUCGAGAAGGAGGGGCCAUCACACGAUGCGUUGUGGAUCACAAGGAUAAAUGUGACCAAAUUGUUCAUGGUAGGACAUGUUCAAAGUCAUGAUAAAAGCGACCAAAUUGUCAAAAACCGUGAUGUUCGCUUUGUGUUUAGGAGCACAAGAUGUAUGUCUCCUGAUCAAAAGCAAGUGGUUUCUUCUGAUUUCCAUCGCCUUUCCUUUCCAGGUUUUGCAUGUUUGUUUCAUUCAAUGUUUUUGUAUGAUUGUUUCUCCAACUAACAUGGUUUUGUCAGAAUUUAACCAACUUACCCCAUACGGUGAAGUUAAACAGCAUGCUCUCGUGAUUUGUUAUAUGCCAACUGAAGAAUAUAUAUGUUGUUAUGUGUCACUGCAGAAUAAUAUAUAUGCACACUAUAGUUUAUUAUGGACAUUUUACACUAUGUCACAGUUGCUUCAGAUUACGUUCCUAUUAGAGAAGGUUGUCGUAUCACGUAGAUGUUUAAAGAGCAUGAGAUGAGAAAAUCCAAAUGAAAUGUUUUCAUAUUACUACAUGUUUGCUAGCCAACAGUGUUGUUUGUUAUGGUGUCCAACAUACCAGCCCAUGAAACCAAUUAACAGUAAUUGUGUAGCCAUGCAGGUGAGUCAUGCAAAGCUAAUACAAGAUGGUGCGCUCGAAAUGGAGGAUUUAAUUUGGUAUAUGACUAUAUGUUAUAGAAGCUUGCCAAAAACAAGCACAAUAGCAGAAAUCAAAUGAAAAUUACUCUAGGUGGAAGAAGCUACUACUCCAGGCCUGACUGAAAGAAAGAAGUAUUUUAUACCUUAGUUGGAUUUAAUUACUACCAUUGAUAUCUUCUUUCACCGACUUGACAGAUGCUGAGUUAAGACCUUUAAUGUUUGGGUUUGGGUGGCAGGGGAUUCUUGCAUUGUCGGACAUCAGACAGCAUUUGGUGUUGUAGGAGUGUCAGCCUGGCAGGGUACAUUUGGCGAGGUUCUGAAAUUAUGUGGGUAUGUUUUCAGAGACUUAUAUACAUCAUUAUUAUUAUGCAUGAUUUGUACUGUGUUCAAA